CACCGAAGCUGCGGCAGCGAACGUAUCACUUAAAGCGAUUCAGCGGGUUACGAUUGACGGAGCGAAGCGACGUCAAAGCGUAUACAAAGUCGAGUCGGUUUAAGGAUACGUUCGUUGGGUAGGGGAGCGUUCUGUAAGCCUGUGAAGGUGUGUCGUGAGGCAUGCUGGAGGUAUCAGAAGUGCGAAUGCUGACAUAAGUAACGAUAAAGCGGGUGAAAAGCCCGCUCGCCGGAAGACCAAGGGUUCCUGUCCAACGUUAAUCGGGGCAGGGUGAGUCGACCCCUAAGGCGAGGCCGAAAGGCGUAGUCGAUGGGAAACGGGUUAAUAUUCCCGUACUUGGUGUUACUGCGAAGGGGGGACGGAGAAGGCUAUGUUGGCCGGGCGACGGUUGUCCCGGUUUAAGCGUGUAGGUGUGUGUUCCAGGUAAAUCCGGUUCACUUUAACACUGAGGCGUGACGACGAGGCACUACGGUGCUGAAGCAACAAAUGCCCUGCUUCCAGGAAAAGCCUCUAAGCAUCAGGUAACAUCAAAUCGUACCCCAAACCGACACAGGUGGUCAGGUAGAGAAUACCAAGGCGCUUGAGAGAACUCGGGUGAAGGAACUAGGCAAAAUGGUGCCGUAACUUCGGGAGAAGGCACGCUGACACGUAGGUGAAGUGAUUUACUCAUGGAGCUGAAGUCAGUCGAAGAUACCAGCUGGCUGCAACUGUUUAUUAAAAACACAGCACUGUGCAAACACGAAAGUGGACGUAUACGGUGUGACGCCUGCCCGGUGCCGGAAGGUUAAUUGAUGGGGUCAGCGCAAGCGAAGCUCCUGAUCGAAGCCCCGGUAAACGGCGGCCGUAACUAUAACGGUCCUAAGGUAGCGAAAUUCCUUGUCGGGUAAGUUCCGACCUGCACGAAUGGCGUAAUGAUGGCCAGGCUGUCUCCACCCGAGACUCAGUGAAAUUGAACUCGCUGUGAAGAUGCAGUGUACCCGCGGCAAGACGGAAAGACCCCGUGAACCUUUACUAUAGCUUGACACUGAACAUUGAGCCUUGAUGUGUAGGAUAGGUGGGAGGCUUUGAAGUGUGGACGCCAGUCUGCAUGGAGCCGACCUUGAAAUACCACCCUUUAAUGUUUGAUGUUCUAACGUGGACCCGUGAUCCGGGUUGCGGACAGUGUCUGGUGGGUAGUUUGACUGGGGCGGUCUCCUCCUAAAGAGUAACGGAGGAGCACGAAGGUUGGCUAAUCCUGGUCGGACAUCAGGAGGUUAGUGCAAUGGCAUAAGCCAGCUUGACUGCGAGCGUGACGGCGCGAGCAGGUGCGAAAGCAGGUCAUAGUGAUCCGGUGGUUCUGAAUGGAAGGGCCAUCGCUCAACGGAUAAAAGGUACUCCGGGGAUAACAGGCUGAUACCGCCCAAGAGUUCAUAUCGACGGCGGUGUUUGGCACCUCGAUGUCGGCUCAUCACAUCCUGGGGCUGAAGUAGGUCCCAAGGGUAUGGCUGUUCGCCAUUUAAAGUGGUACGCGAGCUGGGUUUAGAACGUCGUGAGACAGUUCGGUCCCUAUCUGCCGUGGGCGCUGGAGAACUGAGGGGGGCUGCUCCUAGUACGAGAGGACCGGAGUGGACGCAUCACUGGUGUUCGGGUUGUCAUGCCAAUGGCACUGCCCGGUAGCUAAAUGCGGAAGAGAUAAGUGCUGAAAGCAUCUAAGCACGAAACUUGCCCCGAGAUGAGUUCUCCCUGAGACUUAAAGUCUCCUGAAGGAACGUUGAAGACGACGACGUUGAUAGGCCGGGUGUGUAAGCGCAGCGAUGCGUUGAGCUAACCGGUACUAAUGAACCGUGAGGCUUAACCUU
rnacentral:rRNA from 1 species